UACGAAGGGGGCUAGCGUUGUUCGGAUUUACUGGGCGUAAAGGGCGCGUAGGCGGUGCAAUAAGUCAGGCGUGAAAGCCCCGGGCUCAACCCGGGAAUUGCGCUUGAUACUGUUGCGCUUGAAUCCAGGAGAGGAUGGCGGAAUUCCCAGUGUAGAGGUGAAAUUCGUAGAUAUUGGGAAGAACACCAGUGGCGAAGGCGGCCAGCUGGCAUGGAAUUGACGCUGAGGCGCGAAAGCGUGGGGAGCAAACAGG
rnacentral:rRNA from 1 species